rnacentral:rRNA from 1 species
UUCGGAAUUAUUGGGCGUAAAGGGCGCGUAGGCGGCCAUGCGUGUCUUCCGUGAAAUCCCUCGGCUUAACCGAGGAUGUGCGGAAGAAACUGCAAGGCUCGAGUCCGGAAGAGGGGGGCGGAAUUCCCAGUGUAGCGGUGAAAUGCGUAGAUAUUGGGAGGAACACCAGUGGCGAAGGCGGUCCCCUGGGCCGGAACUGACGCUGAGGCGCGAAAGCGUGGGUAGCAAACGGG